AGCGAACGCUGGCGGCAGGCCUAACACAUGCAAGUCGAACGAACCUUUCGGGGUUAGUGGCGGACGGGUGAGUAACACGUGGGAACGUGCCUUUAGGUUCGGAAUAACUCAGGGAAACUUGUGCUAAUACCGAAUGUGCCCUUCGGGGGAAAGAUUUAUCGCCUUUAGAGCGGCCCGCGUCUGAUUAGCUAGUUGGUUGAGGUAAUGGCUCACCAAGGCGACGAUCAGUAGCUGGUCUGAGAGGAUGAUCAGCCACAUUGGGACUGAGACACGGCCCAAACUCCUACGGGAGGCAGCAGUGGGGAAUCUUGCGCAAUGGGCGAAAGCCUGACGCAGCCAUGCCGCGUGAAUGAUGAAGGUCUUAGGAUUGUAUAAUUCUUUCACCGGGGACGAUAAUGACGGUACCCGGAGAAGAAGCCCCGGCUAACUUCGU
rnacentral:rRNA from 1 species